UACGAAGGGGGCUAGCGUUGUUCGGAAUCACUGGGCGUAAAGCGCACGUAGGCGGCUCUUUAAGUCAGGGGUGAAAUCCCGAGGCUCAACCUCGGAACUGCCUUUGAUACUGGGGAUCUCGAGUCCGGGAGAGGUGAGUGGAACUGCGAGUGUAGAGGUGAAAUUCGUAGAUAUUCGCAAGAACACCAGUGGCGAAGGCGGCUCACUGGCCCGGUACUGACGCUGAGGUGCGAAAGCGUGGGGAGCAAACAGG
rnacentral:rRNA from 1 species